rnacentral:lncRNA from 1 species
CUGUAUUCUCCUGAUACGCGCAUUAUUUAUUAGGAGGAGAAAUGUCAUUUCCGACAUGUCGGCAGCUUUAACCGAACACAGAAACAAACAAACUAAACCGUCAAACGCUUUGUGUAGUUUGUUUUAUUUUUUUGUCGUUAUUUAUAUGAAUAAAUAAACCAUAUUAAUAUAUAAUUGCGAGCCGCCUGCAUGGAGGAGUUGGCGGGGCGGCUGUCAGGCGACAAGUGAGUAUACAGAGCAAGCGACACAACAGAGGAGGAUCGCCGGCCAGGCAGGCUGCUCCUCUCCCGCCGCCCCCACCCGGCUCCGACGUCCCAGAUAAUGGAGCGCUCUGCUUCUGUUAGCCUGCCAAGGCCUCUCCACCACUGGCCGCGAGUGAUGACCUGAGGGGAUAGCGCGUGACAGCCGGGGUAUAAUAACGCCUCCAGCUACGGGUAAAGCAGACCCCAGGGCUCUAUUUUUAAAUACUUUAUACUUUGGACCAGGGCUAAAAGUCAUUUAUUGUGCUUUUUUUUUUUUUUUAGGUCAUCUGUACGGAUGGGUGGAACAGAGAGCCGAGGAGUGUCUGGGUAGUGGAUGAAAGGUCACCGUAGGCCGAGCAGAAGAGGUCACCGUGGAAAUGAAGAGAUAUCGAGCAGCGUUGGGCGCCUCCCUAGUCCCGGGCAGAGGGGUGGACGUGCAGAGGGUUAUGUGCCAUGCCAGGGAGGUGGAACCAUGCAGCCGGAGAGUGGAAGAGUGCUCUGGCAGGGGACGAGGACACGGCUAACCGGAGCUAACGGAAAAAAGAAAAACAUACUUCACCUUAUUGAUUUUGUCGAUCUCUUUAAACGAAGAGCACUUCAAGGCCAAGAGAUCAGCGUUGUGGCUUUUUCUCUCCACGGCUGGCUUGACAGAAGAGUCCCGUCAUUACAGGGAGCAGGGAUUCCCUGGCCAGCUGAGAGCCGGCGCCACGUUCAGACACUUAGAAGGGCGGUAAUGUGGUGUUGGUGGCGUUUUAAUGCUGCUUCCUCAUUCUGGAUGAUUUAAACCUGCCGCCAUAGUCUGUUUUUGGCAGCCUGUCUUAAUUUUUAGUUAAUUUAAGUCGAGUCUUUGUGUCAAGCCGUCAUUUUCGUCUUUAUUAGUCUUAGUCACGUCCAGACUCAUCUUAGUCUAGUCAAGUGACAGUUGACUAAAUGUCUGAGCAUUUUAGUCUUAUUUUAAUAAAAAAAUGGCAUUUUAAUCUAGUGUCCUAUCU